rnacentral:rRNA from 1 species
UCAGCAGCCGCGGUAAUACGGAGGGUGCAAGCGUUGUCCGGAAUUACUGGGCGUAAAGCAGGUGCAGGCGGUUCGUUGUGUCGGGUGUGAAAUCCCGAGGCUUAACCUCGGAACUGCGCCCGAAACUGGCGAACUUGAGUGUGGGAGGGGAUGGUGGAAUUCUGGGUGUAGAGGUGAAAUUCGUAGAUAUCCAGAAGAAUACCGGUGGCGAAGGCGACCAUCUGGCCCAUUACUGACGCUCAGACCUGAAAGCGUGGGGAGCAAACAGAAUUAGAUACUCUGGUAGUCCACGCUGUAAACUAUGGACGCUAGGUGUUGGGGGUGACAAUUCCCUCAGUGCCGUAGCUAACGCGUUAAGCGUCCCGCCUGGGAAGUACGGCCGCAAGGCUAAAACUUAAAGGAAUUGGCGGGGGA